CGUCACACCAUGGGAGUUUGUUGCACCAGAAGUAGCUAGCCUAACUGCAAAGAGGGCGGUUACCACGGUGUGGCCGAUGACUGGGGUGAAGUCGUAACAAGGUAGCCGUAGGGGAACCUGCGGCUGGAUCACCUCCUUA
rnacentral:rRNA from 1 species